AUGUGCUCGCACCGUCAGCCAAGCAUGACUACAUUACAAUUGAUUUCUGGGGAGCAAUUAAUGAUGUAUCUAAAAAUCAGAGAAUGGAACUGGUGCAGUUACCUUUUGAAGCACCUCUUCCAAGCUGUUAGGAAGUUUAAGACAGAUGUCAUAAAGCGCAACCCCACCAUCCACAUUGUUGGAUGCCACUUGGUCCUGCAGGUUUUUGUAUUAGAUAGCCUUGAUCUGGAUUUGUUGAGCAAAUUAAGGGGGAUGUUCCUGCGAAUGGCACUUUUUGAUUAUGAUUCAAUGAAGAAAAUGAUUGAGUCCAUUUCUGUUAACAUGGGAGCUGGGGAAAUAUCAUUCCACGGCGCAUCGGUCCGACAGAAUCUUAAUAUCAGCAAGGAAAUUGUAUGUGCCACCAACAUUGAUUUGAACCCAAACAAGUCAAGGGCAUCACCCAACACAAAACGAGUGCAGAUUCCAUCAACGGUUAUCCCCCGAAAUAAUUAUGGCAAGUCUGGUCCACUUGAAUUUUCGAAACAUCUGCGUACCAAGUACCCGUCCGUUUCGGGCGAGAAGCUUGGUAUACUUUUGAGAGAGCACAAUGCGCGUGGGCUGGCUAGAAUAUCAGAGAUGAGGGAAUCUUUCCAGAACUCGAUGUUUAGUUUCGCAGAUAAAAUAGUUAUCUGCAUAGCUGAAAAUUGUAUGUGUUGCAAGGCUAAUGGUCGAAAACAAUGCAUUCUGAAGAGCGAGCUUCCGACCAAUGGUAACAUUAACAAUGUGCCAACCGGAGAAGAAGAACUGUUUGUCACGCCAAUUGCGAACAAGAUAGUAUCAAGGUUCUCUGCGCCUGUCGAUAAUGAAGGUCAUCAUUUAGUUUCAGGCAACUAUAUUAGUACUACUAUGCAUGUAUCAUCAUCAACAGACUACAACAUAUCUAGACAUAAUCCAUCGAAAUUCAUGCAUUACGGGUACCUCAUCAGCAAAUAG
rnacentral:rRNA from 1 species